rnacentral:rRNA from 1 species
GGCUGGUAUGAACGGUUGGACGAGGUAUAAGCUGUUUCAUAUAAAUUUAUAGUAGAAUUUUAUAUUUUAGUCAAAAAGCUAAAAUGUUAUUAAAAGACGAGAAGACCCUAUAAAUCUUUAUAUUUUAUAGUAUUUAAAUUUUUUAGAUUUGUUUUAUUUUUAUAUUAUAAAAUAUUUUGUUGGGGUGAUGUUAAAAUUUAAUGAACUUUUAAUUGUUUAAAAUCAUUAAUUUAUGAGUUAUUGAUCCAUUAGUAGUGAUUAUAAGAUUAAGUUACUUUAGGGAUAACAGAGUAAUUUUUUUGGAGAGUUCAUAUCGAUAAAAAAGUUUGAGACCUCGAUGUUGGAU